rnacentral:rRNA from 1 species
AUACGGAGGACGCGAGCGUUAUCCGGAUUCAUUGGGUUUAAAGGGUGCGCAGGCGGCCGUGCAAGUCAGCGGUGAAAGCCCGGGGCUCAACCCCGGAAGUGCCGUUGAUACUGCAUGGCUGGAAUGCGGUCGAGGCGGGCGGAACGUGGCGUGUAGCGGGGAAAUGCGUAGAUAUUCCACAGAACGCCGAUAGUGGAGGCAGCUCGCCAGGCCUGCAUUGACGCUCGGGCACGAAAGCGUGGGGAUCGAACAGGAUUAGAUACCCUGGUAGUCCACGCCGUAAACGAUGGGCGCUCGUCGUCGGCGGCAGACAGUCGGCGGCCAAGCGAAAGCGAUAAGCGCCCCACCUGGGGAGUACGGUCGCAAGGCUGAAACUCAAAUGAAUUGACGGGG